GCAGGGCGUGUUUCAGAACGAUGUUGUGAAAGCUCACGCCCUUCAGCCGCGCGGUGCGGAUAUAUUGCGCCGUCAUCACUUCGGUCGUCGAGGCGCGGGUCAUCCGGGCGAUAUAGCCCAUACCGUAAAGCGCAAUGGUGAUCACCGGCAGGGUGAAAUUCUCAAACGUCGGGU
rnacentral:ncRNA from 1 species